rnacentral:hammerhead_ribozyme from 1 species
AUCUAGUUGACGAGUUUCAAAUAGAACGAAACGCGCGUCGUAGAU